ACCGCCCGUCCCCGCCCCUUGCCUCUCGGCG
rnacentral:piRNA from 1 species